AUUACUGACCUUGAAGCUAAUCAUAACAGGCUUCUUCUACCAAAUAAGAACAAAUUUCAAUUUCUUCUUAUCCAAAUUAAUGCAAACAAGAGAACAAGUGGAUGUUCUAAUCCACAAGCUGCUUAAUUUGCACAAAAUCCGCUGGGUUGAUAUUAGGCUAAAAAUAUUUUUUAUAAUUUUCUCAUUUAUAUACAAAUCUUGUUGACAACUGUUUUACAUGUUCUGUUGUUACACAAAAUCUGAUUAUGAAUAGUUCUCCACCACACUCCUGCUUAUUUUUGAUCAUUUCUGCAGAACAUAUCCUGGGUAAAUAGUCCCAUUAUCCAUUUGGCUGUGCAGAGGUAAAAACAAAGCACACAUGCUGGUAUUUUGAACAUAUUCAAUCAUUCAAAUCAGCACUGUCACAUCAGCUAUCACCAUCAAAAACAGCACAUUUGUUUUUACCUCCCGUUCCACAAAGUCUGCUAUGAACCAGUGUCGUCUCCAAGAUACUACCACUCAAAAACUGUAUCCCGAAUAACUAGCUGCAGAGUGCCCUUCACUUAUUCCACAGAGGAUUGCGUAGUACUUUUAAUAAAAUAAAUAAAUAAAUAAAAAAAAUGAGUUGGAUAGUACGUGGAGAAAAAAAAAAAACAGUGAAAGAGUUUCAGAACUGAGCAAACAGGAAGAGGAUUAAACUGUAUGCUUGGCUGGAAGACUGGCAAUUCAAAAUGAAUGAAUGUGGCGUUGCACGCAUCUAUGCAGCCACUGAGGACCAAUUAUACUGACAGAUACUCAGUAACCUUUAGCAGUGUCUAAAUGAGGUCGAUUCCUGAGGUAAAUGCGCAGCAUCCUUGGCCCAGUGAAUGUAAUGGCUGCUGAUGUUAUCUGUUGGCCCAGCUGGCAGGAAACUGUCAACAGAGGGACUUAUUUACUUCUUACAAAUGAUAGUGGCUGGGACCCCAAGCACAUUAUCACACAGUGAAAGCGGAUGUGUAAUAUCAUAUCAAGCACUUGAUUGAAAAGAUAAAAAUCUAGAGAUUUACACGAGAGCAAGUUCAAUUCUCUACAGUGGGAAUUUUGCACACAAAAAAACGAACCCAAAAAUAAAAUUGAAAAAAAACAAACAAACAUGAUUUUUAAUUUGACUGUUGUGCAUUUGCAGAUGUCUUACAGCUUAGUCACUGUAAAUUUCCAUAGUAGGAAUCAUUACAAUGGCUAGUACUUUGUUGUACAUACAGACAUAUAAAUGUGUCGAGACGUACUUGGAAAAAUGUAAACUAACUGCAAUACUGCAGAUUUACUAUGUAUUAUAAUAAAUCAGAUAUCAUAGGGCGAGAGGCGGGGUACAACCUGGCCAUUUUAGAAUCACCAAUAAACCUAACCCCACUAACUUAAUUUCUUUGGACUGAGGAGAGAAGCCGGAGUACCCAGAGAGAACCCGUGCAGAAACGGGGAAAACACACAAAGUCCACACAGAAAAGCCCCAGUCAGAUGAUGGAUUUGAACCCAGGACCUUCUUGCUGUGAGGCAAUUUGUUAGCACUGUUAAACAAUCAUUACCAUUUAUAAAAGAAAUAGUAUAACUGGCAUUAGCAUUGUAUAACUGACAUCAUUACCAUUAAAAAAAAAAAAAAAAAAGCAGGGUUUGUUUUGGCUCAGAAUGGCUGUGGGGAUGACCAUGUACAGAGGUACAAUGAGCUAAUAACAUGGUUUUUUUUUUUAAAAAGACAAGAAAUGAUUAUAAUUCUGUAAUUCUGGUGAUUUUCCUUUUCCUCUGGCUCAAAACCUCUGAGGCAACAAAACCAUGAACAGGGGCGUUGGCUGCUUGUUAUCACUGGGUGCACCCUUUAAAUAUUCCUGUUCUGCUACAAGAAAACAUUUCUGCUUUAAAGUAACAUUCAGAAUGUGGAAACCCCUUUGUUGUAACCCAUUAAUUUAUCUUGAAUUAAGCAGUCAAUGUUUGGCGACUGGCAGUUACGGCCCUUUCCAAGUAAACGCUCCACAUCAUUCCAAUAAAAGUUUCCAUGAGGAUUUCAACCUGGAGUUAGUGUAAUUGUCUGAAUAAGUAAUCACUUAACAGCGACUUCAGUGUGACCUCAUUACCAGUAAGAGAUGAUAUGGUUUGUAAUUCCCCCGAACAUUUCCUGCAAAGAAUUAUGUAAUGCUCUACCAAUUAUUGUGGGUACAAACGUCACGUCUAGAACAGAUGGUUUGUUG
ensembl:lncRNA